CUGACAUGUUGACAUUUGGCAGCAGUAACUGAAGCGUCUAUGAAAGACAGAUUUCUAAGAUGAGCUUAUGUUUCAUGAUGACACACCAGAGGCUUCCAGGAGCCCCCAGAAAUUUUAUUCCCACAGCCUGGAAGCCAGGGUUACCUGGAAGACGUCGGCGCCUUGGAGAAGUCAACAGAAAGCGGGGGAGGAGGAACACCAGUUUCCACAAGCUGAGCCGGCAGGAAGCCAACUCACAGGACGCAUAGACAAUGCAGCAGGUAGGGGUGCAGCCUCCACUGUGAGAACAGAGCAGAGGACCAGCAAAGAGGCCGAGGACCAGGGCAGCUACUAAGGGGCUGAGCUAGAAUUCGAACCCAGGUCCUUCACGGAAGCCCAGUGAACCACAGCUCGCUUCAUGGAGGAACACAUCAGCCAACUCCAGAUACCGCGCAGACUCGGAGACUGCGGGCAGUGCUCUUUGUCAAGGGCAGACACAAAGAGGUCGACGCCUCCCCCACACCCGCUCAGCCAAUGGCUCCUCAUGUGAGUUUAAGCGAAGGACCUCAACUUUCUGAGCCUCAGUUUCUUUCUCUGGAAGAUGGGUGCUAAAACUGCAUGUGUAGUGGAGUUGACUUAAAACACGGGGAGCACCUGGAUCAUGCAGGUACUCAAAAAAAUACACCUCAUUCCCAUCUCACCAUCCACAGCCUUGCAUAACCUACAGGUGCCUCAGUUCCUUCAUGCAAAUAUCAUGUCACUUCCAGGCUGGUUGUCCCCCUAAAGAGGUGGCGCUGGCAGAGAAGUGAUGUGAACCUCCAGUCACAUCCUCAGAGCUGUCCCGGGUUUUGUCCCCAAUGCCCUCGGCUGUCAAGCAAACCGAUUCAAGUUCACUAACAAUUUCAAGCUGCCCCUGGAAAGAAUACCCAGGGAUCCCUGCGAACGCUGUUGAUUCUGGC
rnacentral:lncRNA from 1 species